GACGAACGCUGGCGGUGUGCUUAACACAUGCAAGUCGAACGGUAAGGCCCUUUCUGCGGUACACGCGUGGCGCACGGGUGUGUAUCACGUGAGUAACCUCCCCUCAUCUCUUUGAUAACAGUCUGGAACGGUUGCUCAUACACUAUAUAAGCUUGCGAGGCAUCUUGUGUGUUGGAAAGAUUUUUUUGGUUGGGGAUGGACUCGGGGCCUUUCAGCCUGUUGGUGGGGUAGUUGGUCACCAAGGCCUUCACGGGUUGCCGGCCUGAGAGGGCGAGCGGACAUAGUGGGACUGAGAUGCGGCCCAAACUCCUACGGGGGGGAGGAGGGGAGAAUAUUGCAAAAUGGGCAGAAGUCUGAUGCAGACGCGCCGCGUGCGGGAUGACGGGUCUGGGGUUGUAAACCGUUUUCAAUUGUGAAGAAGCUUGUUGUGACGGUAGCAGUAGAAGAAGCACCGGCUAACUACGUG
rnacentral:rRNA from 1 species